rnacentral:snRNA from 1 species
AUUCUUAGCUGGGGUGCUCCCCUGAUCAAAAAGUAGUUUUCCCAAGGCAAGGCUAUCCUUUGAAUGUUGGCUUUGCCAAUACCUAAAGCAUCCCACAUGUGGGGCAAUCAGCUUCAGAACUUGUGGUAGUGAGGGCAGGAUUUUUCUCAUGCUUCUU